rnacentral:rRNA from 1 species
GAUGAACGCUAGCUACAGGCUUAACACAUGCAAGUCGAGGGGCAGCAUGACCUAGCAAUAGGUUGAUGGCGACCGGCGCACGGGUGAGUAACACGUAUCCAACCUGCCGAUUAUUCCGGGAUAGCCUUUCGAAAGAAAGAUUAAUACUGGAUAGCAUAACGAGAAGGCAUCUUCUUGUUAUUAAAGAAUUUCGAUAAUCGAUGGGGAUGCGUUCCAUUAGUUUGUUGGCGGGGUAACGGCCCACCAAGACAUCGAUGGAUAGGGGUUCUGAGAGGAAGGUCCCCCACACUGGUACUGAGACACGGACCAG